rnacentral:rRNA from 1 species
AGAGUUUGAUCCUGGCUCAGGAUGAACGCUGGCUACAGGCUUAACACAUGCAAGUCGAGGGGCAGCAUGCCGGUUGCUUGCAACCGGUGAUGGCGACCGGCGCACGGGUGAGUAACGCGUAUCCAACCUUCCCGCGACCAAGGGAUAACCUGCCGAAAGGCAGACUAAUACCUUAUGUCCUCCUUUGAAGGCAUCUGACGAGGAGCAAAGAUCCGUCGGUCACGGAUGGGGAUGCGUCCGAUUAGCUUGUUGGCGGGGCAACGGCCCACCAAGGCUUCGAUCGGUAGGGGUUCUGAGAGGAAGGCCCCCCACACUGGAACUGAGACACGGUCCAGACUCCUACGGGAGGCAGCAGUGAGGAAUAUUGGUCAAUGGGCGGAAGCCUGAACCAGCCAAGUAGCGUGCAGGAUGACGGCCCUACGGGUUGUAAACUGCUUUUAUGCGGGGAUAAAGUUGCCCACGCGUGGGUUUUUGCAGGUACCGCAUGAAUAAGGACCGGCUAAUUCCGUGCCAGCAGCCGCGGUAAUACGGAAGGUCCGGGCGUUAUCCGGAUUUAUUGGGUUUAAAGGGAGCGCAGGCCGCCGUGCAAGCGUGCCGUGAAAAGCAGCGGCCCAACCGCUGCCCUGCGGCGCGAACUGCCUGGCUUGAGUGCGCCGGAAGCGGGCGGAAUUCGUGGUGUAGCGGUGAAAUGCUUAGAUAUCACGAAGAACCCCGAUUGCGAAGGCAGCCCGCUGUGGCGCCACUGACGCUGAGGCUCGAAGGUGCGGGUAUCGAACAGGAUUAGAUACCCUGGUAGUCCGCACGGUAAACGAUGGAUACCCGCUGUCCGGCCCGUAUGGUCUGGGCGGCCAAGCGAAAGCGUUAAGUAUCCCACCU